rnacentral:lncRNA from 1 species
UACUUAAUCACACUGUGCCUCAAAAGAUGGAGCUUUUAUUAUCUAUCUCAUGGUAUUGAGAGGAUCAAAAGGGCUAUCUCUAAAAUAUCUAGAACAAUUCUUUGCUCCUUUGGCUCAAUGUGAAGAAUCAAAUGUUAACAAUCAAAAGAGAAGAGUACAUUUCUUGGCACAGAUAGAAAUUUGAAAAGAAAUGAGACUUGCUUUUCAGGAUUAAGUAUAUGCAGUCUUGCAUCAUGUACCAGUUUGAAUUAAGACUGAAUUAAGAGUGAGCUAAGUCAUAUCCCAAAUUUAAGAUCAUGAUUUAGUAAUUCAAGCCAAAUUCGUGGGAGAUCAUGUUAUCUUUCACGUAAUCAAGCAUUAAAUAUCCUUUAAAAUAUGUAAGGAUCAGCAGUGAUGAUACCCUAUAUAGCUACAGUCCCAUCUCAUGCUUUAGGCUUUCUUUCUUUUUUUAGGCCUUAUGCUUAGGCUAUAUUGUGAUCAUUCAGACAGCAAAAAAUUCCCACUGAUGGAAAAAAAUGGCUUGUGGAGUCAAUGAAGAGGAACAAUGCACAUACUUAAAGAAACUCAUGGUGCCUUCACAUGGGACCAAUAAAUGGCCUUAAUCUGCUUGCUCCAGCAGGCCUGGCAGCUAUGAAAUUAAGUGCUCUGAAAAAAACGAAUCGUCAUUUCUUUAAUCUACAAUUCACCAACUUUGACAAGAGCACAGAGGAAGAGGCUGAUGCAGUCCAUUUACCCAACUGCACAUAUACACAGAGAGAUAUUUGGAAUCAUGUUCAACAACUAUCAUCACUGUUCUGGAGUUUUUAAAUUUUAGAAAUGUGUUACAUAUAGAAAGAUGAGAACUUUAAAUGAAUCCAAACCACUACAACUGAUUAUACAUCAAGGAAGAAAUAAAAUGAGGUAAAAUUAUACUAGCUAACUUGAC